AUUUUCUGGAAACAGAAAAGAUUCGCAAGAAGGUCGGGACAGGUACUGCAUGGCUGUCGUCAGCUCGUUCCGUGAGGAGUACCCUUAAGUGGGACAACGAGCGCAACCCCUAUCCGCUGUUAUAUUUGUCAGCGGAGACUGCUUCGACAUAAUGUCGGAGAGGAAGGAGGGGCAGACGUCAAGUCAGCAUGGUCCUUAUACCUUGGGCUACACACAUGUUACAAUGAAUAGCUACAAUGGGUUUUGCCAGACCGCAAGGUCGAGCUAAUCCCUUAAAUCUAUUCUCAGUGGGGAUUGAGGUCUGCAACCCGACCUCAUGAACACGGAAUUGGUAGUAAUCGCGGAUCAGCUAUGCCGCGGUGAAUACGUUCUUGCCUCUUGCACACACCGCCCGUCAAGCCAACAAAGUCGCGGAAAUUUGAAUCUCGAUUUAUCGUGAGAGGAUUUCCCUGGCGAUGGGGGUUAAGUCGUAACAAGGUAUCAGUUCUGGAAGGAGCUGAUGGAUCACCUCCUUU
rnacentral:ncRNA from 1 species